rnacentral:tRNA from 1 species
GCCUGGGUGGCUCAGUGGGUUGAGCGUCCGACUUCGCCUCAGGUCAUGAUCUCACGGUUCGUGGGUUCGAGCCCCGCGUCGGGCU